rnacentral:rRNA from 1 species
GCCUUAAUAUUCAGGAUGCCUCUCACUGAUUUUGUUUGAUCUCAGAAGUUAAGCAAGGUCAGAUCUGUUUUGUUCUUAGAUGAGAGACUUCCUGGGAAUACCAGAUGCAAUAGGCU